GUUCGCCCAGGAAGUAAAGUACAAGAGUAUAAUCCAGUAACUUCAAACUAUGAUCUCAGUCA
rnacentral:rRNA from 1 species